rnacentral:rRNA from 1 species
GCUGGUUUUUCAAGGGCUAUGGUAAAACAAUUCUUCUCGUCAGAACAGAAUAUUGAAACGUAGUUCCGCUGAUGAUACUGGAAUGCAGAUUCCGGGGAAAGUAGGCCAAGGCCGGCA